rnacentral:misc_RNA from 1 species
GAAAUGCGAUAAGUAAUUUGAAUUGCAGAAUUCCUUUCCUCAUCUAAUCUUUGAACGCACAUUGCUCCCGCCAGCACUCUGGCGGGCAUGCCUGUUCGAUCGUCAUUUCAACCCUCAGAACCCCUUGCGGGAUCUGGCGUUGGGGAUUGGCAUCCAGCCAGCCCCGAAAUCUAGUGGCGGUCCCUCCGCGACCUCCCCUGUGCAGUAGCGAUACCUCGCAGCGGGACAGCGGUCUGACCACGCCGUAAAACCCCCAACUUCUCAAGGUUGACCUCGAAUCAGGUAGGAAUACCCGCUGAACUUAAGC